rnacentral:snoRNA from 1 species
AAUCCAUGAUAAGGACAAUCUUGAAUAUAUCCUUUCAAACGCUCCAAUGCUUCUGAAAUGGUUCUGCCUUCUCCUAUUGGAAAUUGGUAAUCUUUCCUCUUAAGGC